rnacentral:rRNA from 1 species
GACGAACGCUGGCGGCGUGCCGAAUACAUGCAAGUAGAACGCAGUUGCGAACGGGUUAGUAACGCGUAGGUAACUACCUAUUAGAGGGGGAUAACUAUUGGAAACGAUAGCUAAUACCGCAUACUCGUAGAUGUACCUGCGUUGUAUUAGCUAGUAGGUUGGGUAAUGGCCUACCUAGGCAACGAUACAUAGCCUACCGUGGAGGGUGCUCGGCCACACUGGGACUGAGACACGGCCGAGACUCCUACGGGAGGCAGCAGUAGGGAAUCGUCGGCAAUGGGGGGAACCCUGACCGAGCCACGCCGCGUGAGUGAAGAAGGUUGUCGGAUCGGAAAGCUCUGUUGUUAAGGAAGCGGUACUUAACCAGAAAGGGACGGCUAACUACGUGCCAGCAGCCGCGGUAAUAC